rnacentral:rRNA from 1 species
GGCUACACACGUGCUACAAUGGGUAGUACAGAGAGUCGCAAAACCGCGAGGUGGAGCUAAUCUCAGAAAACUAUUCUUAGUUCGGAUUGUACUCUGCAACUCGAGUACAUGAAGUUGGAAUCGCUAGUAAUCGCGAAUCAGCAAUGUCGCGGUGAAUACGUUCUCGGGUCUUGUACACACCGCCCGUCACACCACGAGAGUUGGUUGCACCUGAAGUAGCAGGCCUAACCGUAAGGAGGGAUGCUCCGAGGGUGUGAUUAGCGAUUGGGGUGAAGUCGUAACAAGGUAUCCGUACGGGAACGU